rnacentral:rRNA from 1 species
GCGUGCUUAACACAUGCAAGUCGAACGGAAAGGCCCUGCUUUUGUGGGGUGCUCGAGUGGCGAACGGGUGAGUAACACGUGAGUAACCUGCCCUUGACUUUGGGAUAACUUCAGGAAACUGGGGCUAAUACCGGAUAGGAGCUCCUGCUGCAUGGUGGGGGUUGGAAAGUUUCGGCGGUUGGGGAUGGACUCGCGGCUUAUCAGCUUGUUGGUGGGGUAGUGGCUUACCAAGGCUUUGACGGGUAGCCGGCCUGAGAGGGUGACCGGCCACAUUGGGACUGAGAUACGGCCCAGACUCCUACGGGAGGCAGCAGUGGGGAAUAUUGCACAAUGGGCGGAAGCCUGAUGCAGCAACGCCGCGUGCGGGAUGACGGCCUUCGGGUUGUAAACCGCUUUCGCCUGUGACGAAGCGUGAGUGACGGUAAUGGGUAAAGAAGCACCGGCUAACUACGUGCCAGCAGCCGCGGUGAUACGUAGGGUGCGAGCGUUGUCCGGAUUUAUUGGGCGUAAAGGGCUCGUAGGUGGUUGAUCGCGUCGGAAGUGUAAUCUUGGGGCUUAACCCUGAGCGUGCUUUCGAUACGGGUUGACUUGAGGAAGGUAGGGGAGAAUGGAAUUCCUGGUGGAGCGGUGGAAUGCGCAGAUAUCAGGAGGAACACCAGUGGCGAAGGCGGUUCUCUGGGCCUUUCCUGACGCUGAGGAGUGAAAGCGUGGGGAGCGAACAGGCUUAGAUACCCUGGUAGUCCACGCUGUAAACGGUGGGUACUAGGUGUGGGGUCCAUUCCACGGGUUCCGUGCCGUAGCUAACGCUUUAAGUACCCCGCCUGGGGAGUACGGCCGCAAGGCUAAAACUCAAAGGAAUUGACGGGGCCCCGCACAAGCGGCGGAGCAUGCGGAUUAAUUCGAUGCAACGCGUAGAACCUUACCUGGGUUUGACAUGGAUCGGGAGUGCUCAGAGAUGGGUGUGCCUCUUUUGGGGUCGGUUCACAGGUGGUGCAUGGCUGUCGUCAGCUCGUGUCGUGAGAUGUUGGGUUAAGUCCCGCAACGAGCGCAACCCUUGUUCACUGUUGCCAGCACGUUAUGGUGGGGACUCAGUGGAGACCGCCGGGGUCAACUCGGAGGAAGGUGGGGAUGACGUCAAGUCAUCAUGCCCCUUAUGUCCAGGGCUUCACGCAUGCUACAAUGGCUGGUACAGAGAGUGGCGAGCCUGUGAGGGUGAGCGAAUCUCGGAAAGCCGGUCUCAGUUCGGAUUGGGGUCUGCAACUCGACCUCAUGAAGUCGGAGUCGCUAGUAAUCGCAGAUCAGCAACGCUGCGGUGAAUACGUUCCCGGGGCUUGUACACACCGCCCGUCAAGUCAUGAAAGUUGGUAACACCCGAAGCCGGUGGCCUAACCGUUGUGGGGGAGCCGUCGAAGGUGGGACUGGUGAUUAGGACUAAGU